GACGAACGCUGGCGGCGUGCUUAACACAUGCAAGUCGAACGGAGAGCGAUGGAAGCUUGCUUCUAUCAAUCUUAGUGGCGAACGGGUGAGUAACGCGUAAUCAACCUGCCCUUCAGAGGGGGACAACAGUUGGAAACGACUGCUAAUACCGCAUACGAUCUAAUCUCGGCAUCGAGGAUAGAUGAAAGGUGGCCUCUACAUGUAAGCUAUCACUGAAGGAGGGGAUUGCGUCUGAUUAGCUAGGUGGAGGGGUAACGGCCCACCAAGGCGAUGAUCAGUAGCCGGUCUGAGAGGAUGAACGGCCACAUUGGGACUGAGACACGGCCCAGACUCCUACGGGAGGCAGCAGUGGGGAAUCUUCCGCAAUGGACGAAAGUCUGACGGAGCAACGCCGCGUGAGUGAUGACGGCCUUCGGGUUGUAAAGCUCUGUUAAUCGGGACGAAAGGCCUCCUUGCGAAUAGUGAGAAGGAUUGACGGUACCGGAAUAGAAAGCCACGGCUAACUACGUG
rnacentral:rRNA from 1 species